UACGUAGGCAGCGAGCGUUGUUCGGAGUUACUGGGCGUAAAGGGUGCGUAGGCGGUUGUUUAAGUUUGGUGUGAAAUCUCCCGGCUCAACUGGGAGGGUGCGCCGAAUACUGAAUGACUAGAGUGCGGGAGAGGAGAGUGGAAUUCCUGGUGUAGCGGUGAAAUGCGUAGAUAUCAGGAGGAACACCGGUGGUGUAGACGGCUCUCUGGACCGUAACUGACGCUGAGGCACGAAAGCGUGGGUAGCAAUCAGG
rnacentral:rRNA from 1 species